ensembl:lncRNA
AUGGCCCCACAUAGACCCCAAGUGGCCCCAAAUAGACCCCAAGUGGCCCCAAAUAGACCCCAAACGGCCCCGAAUCGCCACAAAUGGAACCAAAAAGGCCCCAAGUUGCAACAAAUGGCCCCAAAAUGGCCCCAAAUCGCCACAGAUGGACCCCAAAUGGCCCCAAAUUGCAACAAAUGGCCCCAAAAUGCCCCCAAAACGGCCCCAAAUCACCACAAAUGGACCCAAAACGGCCCCAAAUUGCAACAAAUGGCCCCAAAAUGGCCGCUGAACGGCCCCAAAUCGCCACAAAUGGAACCCAAAUGGCCCCAAAUAGCCACAAAUGGACCCCAAAUGGCCCCAAGUUGCAACAAAUGGACCCAAAAUGGCCCCCAAACGGCCCCAAAUCACAAGAAAUGGACCCAAAACGGCCCCAAAUCGCCACAAAUGGACCCCAAAUGGCCCCAAGUUGCAACAAAUGGCCCCAAAUUGCAACAAAUGGACCCAAAAUGGCCCCAAAUCACCACAAAUGGACCCAAAUUCAACAAAUGGCUCCAAAAUGCCCCCAAAAAGGCCCCAAAUCACCACAAAUGGCCCCAAAACAGCCCCAAAAUGGCAACAAAUGGCCCCAAAAUGGCCCCAAAUCACCACAAAUGGCCCCCAAACAGCCCCAAAUCGCCACAAAUGGACCCCAAAUGGCCCCAAGUUGCAACAAAUGGACCCAAAAUGGCCCCAAACGGCCCCAAAUCACAACAAAUGGACCCAAAACGGCCCCAAAUUGCAACAAAUUGGCCCCAAAUGGACCCAAACGGCCCCAAACAGCCCCAAAUCGCCCCCAAAUGGCCCCAAAUUGCAACAAAUGGCCCCAAAAUCGCAACAAAUGGCCCCAAACGGCCCCAAAUUGCAACAAAUGGCCCCAAAUUGCAACAAAUGGACCCCAAACGGCCCCAAAUUGCAACAAAGGGACCCCGAACGGCCCCAAAUUGCAACAAAUGGCCCCAAAAUGGCCCCAAAUCGCAACAAAUGGUCCCAAAAUCGCAACAAAUGGACCGAAAACGGCCCCAAAUAGCAACACAUGGACUCCAAAUGGCCCCAAAUUGCAACAAAUUGCAACAAAUGGGCCCAAAACAGCAACAAAUGGACACCAAAUGGCCCAAAUUGCAACAAAUGGACCCCAAAUGGCCCAAAUUGCAACAAAUGGCCCCCAAACGGCCCCAAGUCGCCACAAAUGCACCCCAAAUGGCCCCAAAUCGCAACAAAUGGCCCCAAAAUGGCCCCAAAUUGCAACAAAUGGACCCCAAAUGGACCAAAAUGGCCCCAAAACGGCCCCAAAUUGCAACAAAUUGCAACAAAUGGUCCCAAAACAGCAACGAAUGGACCCCAAACAGCCCCAAAUCGCAACAAAUGGACCCAAAACGGCCCCAAACGGCCCCAAAUCGCAACAAAUGGACCCAAAACGGCCCCAAAAUGGCAACAAAUGGUCCCAAAACAACAACAAAUGGACCCCAAACUGCCCCAAAUCGCAACAAAUGGACCCCAAACGGCCCCAAACAGCCCCAAAUCGCAACAAAUGGACCCAAAAUGGCCCAAAAUGGCAACAAAUGGAUGCAAAACAGCCCCAAAUGGACCCAAAGUGGCCCCAAAUCACAACAAAUGGACCCCAAACGGCCCAAAAUUGCAACAAAUGGACCCCAAACGGCCCCAAAUUACCCUAAUGGACCCCAAACGGCCCUAUAUCGCAACAAAUGGCCUCAAAUGCCCCCAAAACAGCAACAAAUGGCCCCAAAACAGCCCCAAACCACCACAAAUCACCCCAAAAUGGCACCAAAAUGGCCCUAUAUAUGGCCCCAAAAUGGCAACAAAUGGCACCAAAUCAUCCCAAAACAGCCCCAGAUUGUCCCAAAAUGGCACCAAAAUGGCCCUAUAUGGACCCAAAAUGGCAACAAAUGGCACCAAAUGUCCCCAAAUCGCCCCAAGUGGCCCCAAAAAGGCCCAAAAUGGCCCCAAAAUGACUCUAUAUGGCCACAAACAGCCCCAAAUCGCCCCAAAUGGACCCCAAACCACCCCAAAUAG